rnacentral:rRNA from 1 species
AAAUGAAUUGACGGGGGCCCGCACAAGCAGCGGAGCAUGUGGUUUAAUUCGAAGCAACGCGAAAAACCUUACCAGGAAUUGACAUCCCGAUGAAUCGUAUAGAGAUAUGCGCGGAUUGGAAACAAUACAUCGGAGACAGGUGGUGCAUGGUUGUCGUCAGCUCGUGUCGUGAGAUGUUGGGUUAAGUCCCGCAACGAGCGCAACCCUUAUUGUUAGUUACCAGCGGAUAAUGCCGGGGACUCUAACGAGACUGCCGUGGAUAACACGGAGGAAGGUGGGGAUGACGUCAAAUCAUCAUGCCCCUUACGUUCUGGGCUACACACGUGCUACAAUGGUCCAUAACAAAGAGACGCGAAGCCGCAAGGUGAAGCAAACCUCAUAAACUGGAUCUCAGUUCGGAUUGUGGGCUGCAACCCGCCCACAUGAAGCCGGAGUUGCUAGUAAUCGCGAAUCAGCAUGUCGCGGUGAAUGCGUUCCCGGGCCUUGUACACACCGCCCGU